AAAAAGCGUACCGUUUUUUGGCCUCAUUCCGUGCGGUUAUGCGCAGACGGCGCGCUUUGAUUCUCUCCUCCUGGUUUUCAGGCUCAACAGAUGGUCCAGCUUCAUCUGUCUCAUCGACUGGAAACGAAUCGGGACAUAAAAUCAUGGAUCCUUCAUCUUGAUGAACUAAUGAAGAAACAGACCGAUCUGUCUACUCUCUUUAUAAUCAUCUAAAGCACAUGAGAUACCUAAACACAAGAGCAAGACAGACAAGAGGAUGUCACAACAGCAGGAGAAGCUGG